UGCUACUUCUAUUCGUGUGCGUGAAUAGUGUCAUGUUCUAUAUGGAUAAUCAAAAAAUUCAACCAAUGCACCUAACUUAUUCACAAUCCACCAGCUAAUACGUAUUCUCAAACAUGCAAUAAAUUUUUUUAUGUAAAUGAUUUACACAAGUCAAUAAAAACACUUCAUACAAAUCACACGAGAGAGAAAAAAAUUAUAAUCACACAAAAUCAAUUUAGCAGUUAAGCAAUUAAGGUCAUUUCCCAAACUAAAACUAAACAUUGUCCCCAAUGUUAAAUUAGAGACAAAGGAGACUUAUCCGAGUAAAGACAUUAAUUGUUUUGUGUGUCGUGGUGUUGCGAAGCUAGGUUUGUUGUAUGGUUUAGAUAGUCACGAUGGUUGAGGGAACACUAUUCUUCUAUCCCAGAAUAUGGAAGCCAAGGCAUUGUUGAAUUAGUAAUGCUAAGUAAACUGCUCGUACACGCAAUUUUGAAUUUGGUUUAUUUGCAGAUGCAUCGCUUCAAGCCGAUUAGCAAGGUCAUUGCUAAAAUCACUAACUGGGGAAGCUCGACAUCACUUCAAGAUGGCAGUUCCUUCGUCGCAUAAGAUGGUUCACUAGUGGAAUCUUGGAGACUCCUAAACUUUGGUGUUCUAGUCCGUGGGAGAGGUGGUUUGGGAUGCACCAUAUCUUCAUAUGGAUGUAUCACAACACCUUCUCUUGACAUAAUUCAUAGACCAAAGCAAGGUGUCCUAAACCAACAAUAGUUGAACCAUUAUCGACUAACAAGCCAUAUUGAAUAGUAUAAUUCAGUGUCGCCCACUCCUUGGUCACUUCACUCAAAUUGCUGCUGAAUAAGAGUUUCGCAGAGAUGAAAUGAUGCCAAACCUUACACUACAGCAUUAUACCCAAGGAUAGAAAGUUAAUAACAUCUAUGUCCGACUGUUUCCAUGUAGUCCCCAUUUUGCCAAAACUCAUAGUAUCUCCUCGGGGUGAACUCCCUCUUCACGGGCCUUGAAUAGUUAUCAUUAUCAAUAACCAGCAAGUUGUAGAACCUAUUAAUGGAUGUUUUGUCAAAAGGAAUCCACUUGCCUCUCAUAUAUGCUUUAAACUCUCUAUGAUCCUCAGCAUUCGCAUAGAAUUCUCUUACUACUAAUAUCAAGUCUGCAUGUGGUUGUUUAGCAAACAUCCCCAACUCCUUUUUGCUAUUUUAUCCUUUGUAUAAUCUUCAAAAUACCUUUCUGAAUAUAAUUUCUAUGCACUACCAUAUUAUUAUAUUGUUUUAUAGCCACUGCACUGACGAACUUGCUUCCAUCUAAAAAGGCCAAAGAGGAAGACGUCUUUAUCACUCGCUUUGGAGGCAUUGUAAACUAUAUUCAACCAAAUUUUACUUCACAAUCAAGACAACCAAAGAAACUAUUCCAAAUCCAACCUGCUACUACAAUGUAGUCCGAAUUUGACAAUUGGAACUUACCACUAAAAUUAAGCACUUCUCCUAGGCUUUUUCACAAACACUUAGUCUUCACAAUUUCACACAUUACAAUUUAAAAUUAAAAAAAAAUCCCCUAUUUCUUCCCUAAUCAAGCCUCAAUUAAUCAUCAGCCAACAACCCAAAAUCAAAAGUCCCAACUUCUUCCAAAUCAAGCAACAACAAUAAUUUGCCAAAAACUCAAAAUCAAAACUCCUAAAGAAAGUGGGAUACUUAUAUUCAAGGGCAAGUCCCUUUGUUGUGUUGUAGUUCCCAAAACCUUACAUAUCCCUUUAAACAUUCCUUUUUGGAGUAGAGUACACAAAGAUUUGUAGAGUCUUUGGUCUGAUUUGUGUAAUGGAAGAAUCAAUGUAGAGGACGAAAUUUGAAAUUUUUGAGUUAGGGAUUCGAGUGUGGGAAAGAAUGGUUGUGUGCAAAUUGAGAUGGGAUUUUAUGAAAUUAGGGAUUUGGAAAGGAUGGAUUUGUGAUAUGUCAAUAGGGAUUUAUCGAUUGAAUGGAGGAUUUGAAAGAAAGAGUGAAAGGAAUUAUUUGGAAAUUAAGGAGUGAGACAAUUAGAGAAAUCAAUU
rnacentral:lncRNA from 1 species